rnacentral:rRNA from 1 species
UGGGGAAUAUUGCACAAUGGGCGCAAGCCUGAUGCAGCCAUGCCGCGUGUAUGAAGAAGGCCUUCGGGUUGUAAAGUACUUUCAGCGGGGAGGAAGGUGUUGUGGUUAAUAACCACAGCAAUUGACGUUACCCGCAGAAGAAGCACCGGCUAACUCCGUGCCAGCAGCCGCGGUAAUACGGAGGGUGCAAGCGGUAAUCGGAAUUAAUGGGCGUAAAGCGCACGCAGGCGGUCUGUCAAGUCGGAUGUGAAAUCCCCGGGCUCAACCUGGGAACUGCAUCCGAAACUGGCAGGCUUGAGUCUUGUAGAGGGGGGUAGAAUUCCAGGUGUAGCGGUGAAAUGCGUAGAGAUCUGGAGGAAUACCGGUGGCGAAGGCGGCCCCCUGGACAAAGACUGACGCUCAGGUGCGAAAGCGUGGGGAGCAAACA